rnacentral:rRNA from 1 species
UACGGAGGGUGCAAACGUUGCUCGGAAUCAUUGGGCGUAAAGCGCACGUAGGUGGCGUGUUAAGUCGGGUGUGAAAUCCCUGGGCUCAACCCAGGAAGUGCACUCGAAAUUGGCACGCUUGAGUACUGAAGAGGGUCGCGGAAUUCCCGGUGUAGAGGUGAAAUUCGUAGAUAUCGGGAGGAACACCAGUGGCGAAGGCGGCGACCUGGGCAGAUACUGACACUGAGGUGCGAAAGCGUGGGGAGCAAACAGG